rnacentral:rRNA from 1 species
UACAGAGACUGCAAGCGCUAUUCGGAUUCACUGGGCGUAAAGGGUGCGCAGGCGGCCAAGUGUGUGAGGCGUGAAAGCCUGGGGCUUAACUCCAGAAUUGCACCUCAAACUACAUGGCUAGAGCAUUGGAGAGGGUAGCAGAAUUCACGGUGUAGCAGUGAAAUGCGUAGAUAUCGUGAGGAAUACCAGAGGCGAAGGCGGCUACCUGGACAAUUGCUGACGCUCAGGCACGAAAGCGUGGGGAGCAAACAGG